UCGAGAAUCUUGGGCAAUGCGCGAAAGCGUGACCCAGCAAUGCCGCGUGCGGGAUGAAGGUCUUCGGAUUGUAAACCGCUGUCACUCGGGACGAACAAAAUGACGGUACCGAGGGAGGAAGCCACGGCUAACUACGUGCCAGCAGCCGCGGUAAUACGUAGGUGGCGAGCGUUGUUCGGAUUUAUUGGGCGUAAAGGGUCCGCAGGAGGUUUGUUAAAAUUGGGGUGAAAUACCGGAGCUCAACUCCGGAACUGCCUUGAUGACUGGGAGACUAGAGUACUGGAGAGGUAAGCGGAAUACCAAGUGUAGCGGUGGAAUGCGUAGAUAUUUGGGAGAACACCAAGAGCGAAGGCAGCUUGCUGGACAGAAACUGACUCUGAGAGACGAAAGCGUGGGGAGCAAACA
rnacentral:rRNA from 1 species